GCGAAGGUGGCGGAAUUGGUAGACGCGCUAGCUUCAGGUGUUAGUGUCCUUAGGACGUGGGGGUUCAAGUCCCCCCCCUCGCACCA
rnacentral:tRNA from 1 species